rnacentral:tRNA from 1 species
GAGAUAUAAAAAAUUAAAGCUGCUAACUUUAAUAAUAGCGAUUAAAAUAGUUAAUAUCUCU